CAGGUGUCAGUCCUGGGGCAGCGGCGGCAGCGGCAGCGAAGGCCGCAGCUAAAGCAGCAGCAUAUGGUCAGGUCCCAGGCGUUGGCGGAGUCCCGGGCGUUGGCGGAGUCCCAGGCGUUGGCGGAGUCCCGGGCGUUGGCGGAGUCCCAGGUGUUGGUGGAGUACCAGGCGCUGGUGGUUUUCCAGGUGUGGCUCCAGGUGCUCUCCCUGGUGUUGGUCCAGGGGCGGCGGCAGCAGCAGCAGCAAAGGCAGCAGCCAAAGCAGCGGCAUAU